rnacentral:rRNA from 1 species
CUGGCUCAGAACGAACGCUGGCGGCAGGCUUAACACAUGCAAGUCGAGCGCCCCGCAAGGGGAGCGGCAGACGGGUGAGUAACGCGUGGGAAUCUACCCUUUUCUACGGAAUAACGCAUGGAAACGUGUGCUAAUACCGUAUGAGCCCUUCGGGGGAAAGAUUUAUCGGGAAAGGAUGAGCCCGCGUUGGAUUAGCUAGUUGGUGGGGUAAAGGCCUACCAAGGCGACGAUCCAUAGCUGGUCUGAGAGGAUGAUCAGCCACAUUGGGACUGAGACACGGCCCAAACUCCUACGGGAGGCAGCAGUGGGGAAUAUUGGACAAUGGGCGCAAGCCUGAUCCAGCCAUGCCGCGUGAGUGAUGAAGGCCCUAG